GGAGGCGGGGCCGCCGAAUUUCAAACUCAACAAUGGAACGAGCCACCAUUUGAAUCCACCGUCAUUAAGUUUGGAGCAAGAGGAAUGUGUUAUGCUGGCUGAUAUCGGCUACAUGGCCUGCAGAUACCUCCCAGUUAGCCGAAUCGCCAAGGAAUCUUUAGAGGAGAAUGUGGAAAAAAAUGAAGCCAUACUUCAGAUCAGAGAUGAGGAGGACUCUGGAGCACCUCUUCAAGAAGAUGAAGUCUAACUGGGCCGAAUUUAACCUUGCCACUCAUGGCCUUGGCCCAUAUGUGCUCGAGACAACGUGUGUGUUCAUCGACUCAUGUCUGGCCGAGAAAUUGAAGUUGCUCAAAAUUGAUAAAUGAAGAAAAACACCACCACUGGCUCUUUUCAAUAACCAAGGAAAGACACCACCACUGGUUUAUAUAGAUAAAGCUGUGUGUUCUUCCUUUUUUUAGUUUGAAGUUCUCAUGAUUUGACACAUUGUCCGUUGUUGCUAUUUGCUAUACACAUGCAUAAAGUUUCAGUUUUAUGACUGACAAUUCAAAAUCUCCCAUGAAGACUCAUUCACCGAUA